rnacentral:rRNA from 1 species
AUAUUGCACAAUGGGGGAAACCCUGAUGCAGCGACGCCGCGUGUAGGAGGACGGUCCUCCGGAUUGUAAACCACUGUCCCCAGGGACGAAGAUGACGGUACCUGGGGAGGACGCUCCGGCUAACUACGUGCCAGCAGCCGCGGUAAUACGUAGGGAUCGAGCGUUGUCCGGAAUUACUGGGUGUAAAGGGAGCGUAGGCGGGGAUGCAAGUUGGGUGUUAAAUCUACCGGCUCAACUGGUAGUCGCACUCAAAACUGCAGCUCUUGAGUGAAGUAGAGGCAGGCGGAAUUCCUAGUGGAGCGGCGAAAUGCGUAGAUAUUAGGAGGAACACCAGUGGCGAAGGCGGCCUGCUGGGCUUUUACUGACGCUGAGGCUCGAAAGUGUGGGGAGCAAACAGG